CAGCUAUAUAUGUCGCGGACAGGAUUCCAUUAUGAUUGGAUCCAUAUCAUAGUGACCUGAUUUUAGUUUAUGACCAUCCCCUAUUAUAUGAUGUAUAUGCAUACUUAGUUUGGAAAACCCAGGUUCAACGGUUCAAAAGAUAUGGACCGGACACAAACCAGACAAGCACGAAUCAAACAAUGUUUGAAAACUUGACGGCUCAAAUGUCAAUGCCAAUGUCAAAAUGAACUGAUUUAAUUUAUGAAGAACCACGUGCCAUCCCAUAAUACAUCUCUGAACUAAGUG
rnacentral:lncRNA from 1 species